rnacentral:misc_RNA from 1 species
AACCUAGCACACCUGCGGUGUGUACCUGCGGAAGGAUCAUAACUGGUUAAACUUUAUAAACACCAGAGUUUCAAACUCUGUGUUUGCAAACAAAAAAACACCCUUCAAAACAGCUAUUCAGUGUCUGAAUUAACUAGUUUAAUAUAAAAACAACUUUCAGCAACGGAUCU